UACGUAGGGGGCAAGCGUUGUCCGGAUUUAUUGGGCGUAAAGAGCGUGUAGGCGGCCUUACAGGUCAGCUGUGAAAACUCGAGGCUCAACCUCGAGACGUCGGUUGAAACCGUAUGGCUAGAGUCCGGAAGAGGAGAGUGGAAUUCCCGGUGUAGCGGUGAAAUGCGCAGAUAUCAGGAGGAACACCGGUGGCGAAGGCGGGUCUCUGGGCCGAUACUGACGCUGGAGGAGCGAAAGCGUGGGGAGCGAACAGG
rnacentral:rRNA from 1 species